rnacentral:rRNA from 1 species
UACGUAGGUGGCAAGCGUUGUCCGGAAUUAUGGGCGUAAAGCGCGCGCAGGUGGUUCCUUAAGUCUGAUGUGAAAGCCCACGGCUCAACCGUGGAGGGUCAUUGGAAACUGGGGAACUUGAGUGCAGAAGAGGAAAGUGGAAUUCCAAGUGUAGCGGUGAAAUGCGUAGAGAUUUGGAGGAACACCAGUGGCGAAGGCGACUUUCUGGUCUGUAACUGACACUGAGGCGCGAAAGCGUGGGGAGCAAACAGG